UGUCUGCAUUUUAAUACACCCCAAAGGCCCAAAGGAUCGACAUUAACAUGGCGGCAGGAUGCCGUCUUGAAAGACGUCAAUUGGUAUGGAACGGUCUCAUUAAAAGAAGCCCAGGUAGCUAUGGCUUUCCAUCUCCUUGACGACCAGGGGCAGAGCUAAGGCGCCGUGACUUGUGCUCAAGAAUUUGACUUUCUGUCUAAGAAACAGGUUGGCUCGCUUCUACAGUCCAAAUUUCCCAGGCAGCAAAUACUCAACAACGCAUACAGCAACUCUGCCAACACCCAAUACUUCCCUUUAAUGCAAUGAAUUAACCAUAAUGCAGCAUGAGCAUAACACAUGCUCUGUGAACAUUGUCGGCAACAAAACAAUUAAGUUAUAUUCAUCCAAUGUAAAAUAACAGAUAUGAUGAAAUCCUCUUUUUUAAAAUCUAUUCAUUCGCAAGCUUGCAGAUGAAUCAAACAAGCACACAUUUGGUGGUGCAAUAACCAUUUCAUUGGUGUAAUAUUACAGAAAACACAAAUCCAUCAUGGUGGUGUAUAUGAAGAGAAAAAUUCUUAUAAUUUCCCCAACAAUUUUUGACCUAAUAAAACCAUAGUUGUUCGUUUCUGAAAAGUAUGUGGAUAAUUGAUUCGCAGGAGCUUGAUUGACCUUUUGCAGUCAAUUUCCUGAUUACUUCAGGACAAACGAAGCAGAAAAAUGUCUGAAGUUCAAAUUAGGUAAUGAGCGUGCAUUUUGCAGCUCUUUGACCAGAGCCACGAAUAUGAAAGCACCCACGACAAUUAUUUAGCCAAAACCCAAAACAACAAAUGUGAUGACAUGAGACAUUUCCGCAGCACUGUAUGUUCAUGCUGUCAUGUACUUGUUCUCUCACUGUGACCUCUCAGUCAGCACCUCACUGUGCCUACAAAAACGUUAGGCGGGAGGUGUCACUUCCAGCUGACGGAUGUGAAAGUGAUAACUAAGUGCUUUCACAUCCAUGCACAGGGUGCUUGGGGGAUGUGGCAAGACACAGCGGUUGCAUGGAGAUGCCUGCCAAGUCCAUUCGUCAGCCAAAUAAGGCAAAACGGAAUCUGGGCGGUCACUUGUUCAGGUGAGAGGAUCUCCAAAUUAAAGGCUGGAUUUUGACUGAUACUGGAUGAAAGCGGUGGUGGUGACACGAGAGAAAAAAAAAUGUCACACUGUGAAAAAUUUGACCCAAGAUAAUUCAAAAAAUCCCAUCCACAAUACAUCCAAAUCAUCACAACCCUCAAAACUCUAUUUGCACUUCUGAGAGACAAGCACAAUUACCUUUUUUUGUACACUUUUAGGAAGAGAAAAGUGUUUUCGCCCAUGUUUUUCCAAGACGACACAAAAAA